rnacentral:rRNA from 1 species
AACAAACGCUGGCGGCGUGCCUAAUACAUGCAAGUCGAACGGGGAAAGCUUUCGGGUGAGUACUAGUGGCGCACGGGUGAGUAACGCGUGGAUAAUCUGCCUUAGAGUGGGGGAUAACUAGUCGAAAGAUUAGCUAAUACCGCAUAAGACCACAAGAACUGCGGUUCAAGGGGUAAAAGGUUUUUCGCUCUAAGAUGAGUCCGCGUAAGAUUAGCUAGUUGGUAGGGUAACGGCCUACCAAGGCGACAAUCUUUAACUGGUCUGGGAGGAUGAUCAGUCACACUGGAACUGAGACACGGUCCAGACUCCUACGGGAGGCAGCAGUAGGGAAUAUUGCACAAUGGAGGAAACUCUGAUGCAGCGACGCCGCGUGAGUGAUGAAGGCCUUCGGGUCGUAAAGCUCUGUCGCAGGGGAAUAACACAAUGAAGGUACCCUGUAAGAAAGGAUCGGCUAACUUCGUGCCAGCCGCCGCAGUAAUAC